GGAUGGAGCAGUCUGGUAGCUCGUCGGGCUCAUAACCCGAAGGUCGUAGGUUCAAAUCCUACUCC
rnacentral:tRNA from 1 species